GCCUAAUUAGCUCAGUCGGUAGAGCAACCGGCUGUUAACCGGUUUGUCACAGGUUCAAGUCCUGUAUUAGGCGCCA
rnacentral:tRNA from 1 species